UGUCGUGAGAUGUUGGGUUAAGUCCCGCAACGAGCGCAACCCUCGACCUUAGUUGCCAGCAUUCAGUUGGGCACUCUAAGGUGACUGCCGGCUAAAAGUCGGAGGAAGGUGGGGAUGACGUCAAAUCAUCAUGCCCCUUAUGACCUGGGCUACACACGUGCUACAAUGGGCGGUACAAAGGGUCGCGAACCCGCGAGGGGGAGCCAAUCCCAAAAAGCCGCUCUCAGUUCGGAUUGCAGGCUGCAACUCGCCUGCAUGAAGCCGGAAUCGCUAGUAAUCGCGGAUCAGCAUACUGCGGUGAAUACGUUCCCGGGCCUU
rnacentral:rRNA from 1 species